GCCUUCAUAGUGUAACGGUAGCACACUCGUGGCGUAUUCGAGAUGACCAGGGUUCGAAUCCCAGCGACGGCA
rnacentral:tRNA from 1 species